UGGGGAAUAUUGCACAAUGGGCGCAAGCCUGAUGCAGCCAUGCCGCGUGUAUGAAGAAGGCCUUCGGGUUGUAAAGUACUUUCAGUCGGGAGGAAGGUGGUAAGGUUAAUAACCUUGGCGAUUGACGUUACCCGCAGAAGAAGCACCGGCUAACUCCGUGCCAGCAGCCGCGGUAAUACGGAGGGUGCAAGCGUUAAUCGGAAUUACUGGGCGUAAAGCGCACGCAGGCGGUCUGUCAAGUCGGAUGUGAAAUCCCCGGGCUCAACCUGGGAACUGCAUUCGAAACUGGCAGGCUAGAGUCUUGUAGAGGGGGGUAGAAUUCCAGGUGUAGCGGUGAAAUGCGUAGAGAUCUGGAGGAAUACCGGUGGCGAAGGCGGCCCCCUGGACAAAGACUGACGCUCAGGUGCGAAAGCGUGGGGAGCAAACAGG
rnacentral:rRNA from 1 species